GUCGUCUUCGUCCCCUUCUUGUCCAACGAGUUAUAUAGACAGCUACCUCGGGUAGCUCCUCAAAAGAGCUGAGCGUCUCAGGGUGCCGUGUUCAGGUCCAGUCGAGUUAGCCCCUUCAUCGGUUUCUGAAGAUGGGAAGUUCAGAGUUUGAGCAAACCAAGGCGCACUUGCACGUCGACUGUGCACAGCCACCAGCAAUAACUUGGCAGAGGAAAUUCGACGAUGAAGGAAAGAAGGUUGCUAUGCUUAGCAUGACCACUGAUAUCUUCACAAUUAUACCCUUGAUUUUUAAAAUGCUUCGACUACACGUCGAGGGAAUCGCCAAAAACCAAGUUGCCGUCUAUGAUCCGCUCAGGAAAUGGAUGGACAACUGCUACCGCGGGGUACCCCUCGGCGGACUAGGUUCAGGAAGCAUAGGGAGAAGCUACAGAGGGUACUUUCAGCAGUUUCAAAUAUUCCCCAGGAUAUAUGAAGAGAAGCCUGUCCUGGCCAACCAGUUCUCAGCAUUCGUUUCGCGGCCCGGCGGGAAGAGCUACUCCACAGUGUUGUCCGCACCAACUGCUGAUCUUCUCAAGGGAAUAGACAAAGCCGGUAUCGGGUCUUGGGACUGGAAACUGAAAGAGAAGAAUUGCAACUACCAUGGCUUGUUCCCAAGAUCUUGGACUGUAUAUGAUGGUGAGCCUGACCCUGACAUCAAGAUCACCUGCCGUCAGAUAUCGCCCUUCAUCCCUCACAACUACAAGGAGAGCAGCUUUCCCGUCGCGGUUUUCACUUUUACGGUGCAAAAUUCUGGGAGCACACCUGCAGAUGUCACCUUGCUCUUCACAUGGGCUAAUUCAGUGGGUGGAAAAUCAGAACUGACUGGGAAUCACACCAACUCCAGAAUCAAAGCGCGGGACGGCGUUCAUGGCGUCCUUCUACGCCACAGGACGGCGGACGGGAACCCUCUGGUGACGUUCGCGAUCGCGUCUCAGGAGACCGGCGACGUCCGCGUCACCUGCUGCCCGUCCUUCGCGAUGGGCCCGUCCACCCCCGGCGGCCGCGAUCAGUUCACGGCCAAGGACAUGUGGGACGAGGUCAAGAAACACGGUUCCUUUGGCGAGGCCACAGGCGGGGCGCCGCCAGCGUCGUCGAGGCCUGGAUCGUCUAUUGGGGCGGCGGUCGCGUCGACGACGACGGUGCCGGCGGGGGGCACGCGCGUGGUGUCGUUCGCGCUCUCGUGGUCGUGCCCCGAGGUGAAGUUCCCCUCCGGGAGGACCUACCACCGGAGGUACACCAAGUUCCUCGGCCUGGAUCGAGACGCCGCUGCUGAAAAGUUGGCUCACGACGCCCUUCUCGAACACAUGGCUUGGGAGUCGAAAAUCGACGAGUGGCAGAGGCCUAUCCUGCAGGACAAGAGGCUGCCUGAAUGGUAUCCGGUUGUACUGUUCAACGAGCUUUACUAUCUCAACGCUGGAGGCACCAUUUGGACAGAUGGGCUGCCUCCGAAGAAGACCAGCUUCGCCUCGUCAAAGUACGGGUCGACGACGGAGUCCUUCACUCUCGACGGGUUCCGCGCAGGUGAUCUCGCUGUGGACGGUAUCCUGAGCGCGAUGUCGACGGCGGAGGAGCGGCUGGAAUCAUCGUCGGCGUUCGGCACGGCCCUGCUCGGCGACGGCGAGGAGAACGUGGGGCAAUUCUUGUACCUGGAGGGGAUGGAGUACCACAUGUGGAACACCUACGACGUCCACUUCUACUCCUCCUUCUCGCUGCUCUCCCUCUUCCCGGAGAUCGAGCUCAGCCUCCAGCGCGACUUCGCCCGCGCCGUACUCCUCCACGACCCGCGCCCCAUGCGCACGCUCGACGGCGUCGACGUCCCACGCAAGGUGCUCGGCGCCGUGCCGCACGACAUCGGUCUGGCCGACCCCUGGUUCGAGCUGAACGCGUACAUGAUCCAUGACCCGUCACGGUGGAAGGACCUCAACCCCAAGUUCGUCCUCCAGGUGUACCGCGACGUCGCCGCCACCGGGAAUGUUGCGUUCGCGUCGGCGGCGUGGCCGGCGGUGUACCUGGCCAUGGCGUACAUGGACCAGUUCGACCGUGACGGGGACGGUAUGGUGGAGAACGAGGGCCGCCCCGACCAGACGUUCGACCUGUGGUCCGUCUCCGGGGUCAGCGCGUACACCGGGGGUCUCUGGGUCGCGGCCCUUCAGGCGGCGGCCGCCAUGGCGCGCAUCGUCGGCGACCGGGGCGCGGAGGGGUACUUCCUCGAGCGGUACAAAAGGGCGCAGCGCGUGUACGACGGCGAGCUCUGGAACGGCUCCUACUUCGACUACGACAACAGCGGCGGCGCGACCAGCAAGUCCAUCAUGGCCGACCAGCUCGCCGGGCAGUGGUACGCGCGCGCGUGCGGGCUGGAGCCGAUCGUGGAGGAGGAGAAGGCUCGCAGCGCGCUAGGGACGGUGCUGGACUACAACGUGAUGCGCGUGCAGGGCGGCGCGGUGGGGGCCGUGAACGGGAUGCGGCCGGAUGGCGCCGUCGACGCGUCGUCGUUGCAGUCCAAGGAGGUGUGGGUCGGGGUCACCUACGGCGUUGCCGCCGCCAUGCUCCACGAGGACAUGCCGGAGGCGGCCUUCCGGACGGCGAAGGGCGCGCACGACGCCGGGUGGGGCAGGGACGGGUUCGGGUACGCGUUCCAGACGCCGGAGGCGUGGACGUCCGACGCCGGCGGCGGGUACCGGUCGCUACACUACAUGCGGCCGCUCUCCAUCUGGGCGAUGCAGUGGGCGCUAUCGCCGCCGGAGCUCCAUAGGGACCUCCGGGUGGUUCCGGGUUCGGUGUCCGCCGUAGCGUCGCCGGCGGAGGUGGACCUGGCGCGGGAGAAGUUCGAGAAGGUGGCGUGCAUGCUGAGGCUGCCGGAGGAAGUGCAGCACAAGGGGUAUCUCAGAGCCAUCUACCAGGUACUCCGGCAGAUGCUGCUCCCGGAAUCCUGAUUCUCACGGGUGGAACUUCCAAUUUUAGCCCUGAAACAUUCGGUCGUAAGGUCGCACGAUUCUUAGAGCAAGGCCUAUGGAAGAAAAAUACUCCCUCCGUAAAGAAAUAUAAAAGCGUUUAGAUUAUUUCUUUACAGAGGAAGUAUGUAAAAAAAUUGGCAGAAAUGCAAAUUUCAAAAAUAAUCACAGAAAGUUGUUGUGUAGCUCAAGUUUCAUGGUACCCCAUGACCAAAUGUCUUGCGUGCUUGUAAAUUUUAGUGUUCACAUGACAACCAACGAGCUCAAAAAUAAACUGCUCAACAGCGCACACAAGUUUGAGCACCAAUUUUGUAAUUUUCUCUAUGAACUCUUGGAAUGUUAUUUGGACACAAAAAAUUGCAAGCGCCUACAAUAUUUCGUCAUAAUCCAUCCCACAAUGUUCAGAAUUUUUGGAUUUUCUAUUUUUUUUAUAAUUUUACUGUUCAUGGAGGUACCAUGGAGCUCUUGCUAUGAAAAACCGCUCUCAAUAAUAAAUAGUCCUAAGUAUGGUUCAACGGAAGUGGCACUUCGAGCUUUUGAUUGA
rnacentral:rRNA from 1 species